rnacentral:rRNA from 1 species
GAUGAACGCUGGCGGCGUGCCUAAUACAUGCCAGUCGAGCGAACAGACGAGGAGCUUGCUCCUCUGACGUUAGCGGCGGACGGGUGAGUAACACGUGGAUAACCUACCUAUAAGACUGGGAUAACUUCGGGAAACCGGAGCUAAUACCGGAUAAUAUAUUGAACCGCAUGGUUCAAUAGUGAAAGACGGUUUUGCUGUCACUUAUAGAUGGAUCCGCGCCGCAUUAGCUAGUUGGUAAGGUAACGGCUUACCAAGGCAACGAUGCGUAGCCGACCUGAGAGGGUGAUCGGCCACACUGGAACUGAGACACGGUCCAGACUCCUACGGGAGGCAGCAGUAGGGAAUCUUCCGCAAUGGGCGAAAGCCUGACGGAGCAACGCCGCGUGAGUGAUGAAGGUCUUCGGAUCGUAAAACUCUGUUAUUAGGGAAGAACAAAUGUGUAAGUAACUAUGCACGUCUUGACGGUACUUAAUCAGAAAGCCACGGCUAACUACGUG